AUUGAACGCUGGCGGAAUGCUUUACACAUGCAAGUCGAACGGCAGCACGGACUUCGGUCUGGUGGCGAGUGGCGAACGGGUGAGUAACAUAUCGGAACGUAUCCAAUAAUGGGGGAUAACGAGUCGAAAGAUUCGCUAAUACCGCAUACGCCCUACGGGGAAAGCUGGGGACCUUCGGGCCUGGCGUUAAUGGAGCGGCCGAUAUCUGAUUAGCUAGUUGGUGAGGUAAAGGCUCACCAAGGCGACGAUCAGUAGCUGGUCUGAGAGGAUGACCAGCCACACUGGAACUGAGACACGGUCCAGACUCCUACGGGAGGCAGCAGUGGGGAAUUUUGGACAAUGGGCGCAAGCCUGAUCCAGCCAUUCCGCGUGAGUGAAGAAGGCCUUCGGGUUGUAAAGCUCUUUAAGUCGGGAGGAAGGGUUGUAGGUUAAUACCUUGCAGCCUUGACGUUACCGACAGAAUAAGCACCGGCUAACUUCGUGCCAGCAGCCGCGGUAA
rnacentral:rRNA from 1 species